GAUGAACGCUAGCGGCAGGCCUAACACAUGAAAGUCGAGGGGCAGCACAGAAACAGCAAUGUUUUGGUGGCGGCCGGCGGACGGGUGCGUAACGCGUAUGCAACCUACCUUUAACAGGGGGAUAACGGAGAGAAAUUUCCACUAAUACCCCAUAACAUCGAUCAAGGCAUCUUGAUUGGUUGAAAACUCCGGUGGUUAAAGAUGGGCAUGCGUUGUAUUAGGUAGUUGGUGAGGUAAUGGCUCACCAAGCCUACGAUACAUAGGGGGACUGGGAGGUUAGCCCCCCACACUGGUACUGAGACACGGACCAGACUCCUACGGGAGGCAGCAGUGGGGAAUAUUGGUCAAUGGGGGCAACCCUGAACCAGCCAUGCCGCGUGCAGGAAGACGGCUCUAUGAGUUGUAAACUGCUUUUAAACAGGGAUAAAGCACAGUAUGUAUACUUUGUUGAAGGUACAGUAAGAAUAAGGAUCGGCUAACUCCGUGCCAGCCGCCGCCGUAA
rnacentral:rRNA from 1 species